AAGGAAGAUAAUGACGGUACUUGAGGAGGAAGCCCCGGCUAACUACGUGCCAGCAGCCGCGGUAAUACGGAGGGGGCUAGCGUUAUCCGGAUUUACUGGGCGUAAAGGGUGCGUAGGCGGUCUUUCAAGUCAGGAGUGAAAGGCUACGGCUCAACCGUAGUAAGCUCUUGAAACUGGGAGACUUGAGUGCAGGAGAGGAGAGUGGAAUUCCUAGUGUAGCGGUGAAAUGCGUAGAUAUUAGG
rnacentral:rRNA from 1 species